rnacentral:rRNA from 1 species
GAUGAACGCUGGCGGCGUGCCUAAUACAUGCAAGUCGAGCGAACGGACGAGAAGCUUGCUUCUCUGAUGUUAGCGGCGGACGGGUGAGUAACACGUGGAUAACCUACCUAUAAGACUGGGAUAACUUCGGGAAACCGGAGCUAAUACCGGAUAAUAUUUUGAACCGCAUGGUUCAAAAGUGAAAGACGGUCUUGCUGUCACUUAUAGAUGGAUCCGCGCUGCAUUAGCUAGUUGGUAAGGUAACGGCUUACCAAGGCAACGAUGCAUAGCCGACCUGAGAGGGGGAUCGGCCACACUGGAACUGAGACACGGUCCAGACUCCUACGGGAGGCAGCAGUAGGGAAUCUUCCGCAAUGGGCGGAAGCCUGACGGAGCAACGCCGCGUGAGUGAUGAAGAUCUUCGGAUCGUAAAACUCUGUUAUUGGGGAAGAACAUAUGUGUAAGUAACUGUGCACAUCUUGACGGUACCUAAUCAGAAAGCCACGGCUAACUACGUG